GACGAACGCUGGCGGCGUGCUUAACACAUGCAAGUCGAGCGGUAAGGCCCUUUCGGGGGUACGACGAGCGGCGAACGGGUGAGUAACACGUGGGUGACCUGCCCUCAGCUCCGGGAUAAGCCUGGGAAACCGGGUCUAAUACUGGAUAUGACUCCAUGACGCAUGUUGUGGGGUGGAAAGCCUUGUGCGGCUGAGGAUGGGCCCGCGGCCUAUCAGCUUGUUGGUGGGGUGAUGGCCUACCAAGGCGACGACGGGUAGCCGGCCUGAGAGGGCGACCGGCCACACUGGGGACUGAGACACGGCCCAGACUCCUACGGGAGGCAGCAGUGGGGAAUCUUGCGCAAUGGGCGAAAGCCUGACGCAGCGACGCCGCGUGAGGGAUGACGGCCUGG
rnacentral:rRNA from 1 species